ensembl:lncRNA
UGGGUAAAAAUUAAAAGCUGCUCUCACAAAAAUAAAAUCUCAAUAUUCAAUUUUGUUCAACCUUCCAGUAACUGUUUAGGAUUAAGAAGUCCCAUAUACAAUGGAGCAUGAGGUGCAUCUUGAACCUCUGGGCAUCUCUCAGUCUAUCCUGGGAAUACCUACCUACCCAUCACUUAGCAAAAGCUCUUCCUCACCUGAAACAAGCUGGUGUGGAAUGUCUGGUGGCCCUGUUCAAAGUCCCUGAUAAUUUCUUCACCUACACAAGUGGUCAAGGAGUACACCUUCCUAUGAGCAUGUAAAAUGGCAGCUCUCUGCAGAUUCCUAUUAUGGUGCCAAAGGUUUACACUAAAUGCCACACUGGUCUUUUGCGAAAUGGAGUCUUUCCAGCUGAGAACGGGGAUCCCCAUGCCCAGUAUAGACUUGCCUCCUUUAAUGCCUUUGAAAAGAUCCAUUCUCCUGAGUCAUCCAAGAGGACAAAGAACAGUAUGAGCUUUGAGCUGAACAGAAGACUCUCCCUCCUCGGACUGGUGAGAGGUGGCUCUCUAAGUGCCUUAUAUGUUCAACCUUCAAUUAAUUCCACUCACACCAUACCCCCACUGGUAUUGAAGACAAAUAGUGCUGCAGUCUUUGGGUACAGCUUCAGUGUUUACUUCUGGUACAGCCAAGGAUCUACUGCUCAGAAUCUGAGAACUCUAAAAAUUAUUUUGGAGAAGAAAUUUGUGGCUCUCCACCUCUGCUUUCUCUUGGCCACAGAGGAGGGCCGCAGUCAUCAGUAAUGGUUAAGAUAGCUGAAACAAGGAGAGAAAGCAUACAAAGCCAGAAUCCCCCUUUAAUCUGACUUUAGAUACCCUGCUAAGUAAAGUUAAUUGCAACUGUUACUCAUCAAAAAUGGUAGGACAACCCCCAUCUCCCACAACCACCACACCAAUAUCCCCUCAGCCCUUACCAUCCUGCCAAAUGCUGGUGUCUGCCUCUCUCUUCAUUUGGGCUUUCUCUGGCCUUAAGCUCCUCAACACUUUUACUCUGCCAUACAUACAUACAUGAAGCCAGAAAUGCCCAGAACGAAAUGCCUCCCUAUAAGGAUAGCCUUUGACCAGUUCUGACAGAACUUGGUAUGUAAAUAUCUUAAUGUCCUUGUCCCUCAGUUGGGAUGUCUCUGAGGUGUUGUUCUGCUCUGAGUCCCAGGGUCCCUAGUGAGAUUAAAACUACAGUUGCCUACAGUGGUAAUAACACAACUUUCUGUUAGGAUUCCAUUGUUUCAUUUCCCUCCCCCUCUACUGAGUCUCCCUCCUGAGAUCACACCCUCAGUAAACUACUUGCACUUGAAUCUAUGUCUGUGGGUUGGCUUCUGAGACACAGUUUGGGGACGCAGACUCUAAAAGAUGCACUGCUUUGUUAGGUGAGACACAUACACACACACACACACACACACACACACAUUCCACCCUGUUUUGUUUUUAAAGAUUUUAUUUAUCCAUUCAUGAGAGAGAGAGAGAGAGAGGCAGAGACACAGGCAGAGGGAGAAGCAGGCUCCAUGCAGGGAGCCCGACGUGGGACUCGAUCCCAGGUCUCCAGGAUCAGGCCCUGGGCUGAAGGCGGCGCUAAACUGCUGAGCCACCUGGGCUGCCCAUCCACCCUCUUUCAUACACUGCCAUUCAUGGACGUUAGCCUUUUGUGGCAGCUUUCCCCUUUUAUGAUUCAAUUUUACUUGAUUUCAUUUGAAUAUAAAUGUCACAGCUGGCCCUUGCCUCAUCCCCCAAAACGUGCAUCAGUUCU